rnacentral:tRNA from 1 species
GUGCCCAUUGUCUAAUGGAAAAGACAGAGGGUCUCGUCUCCUAUCUCAUCGGAAGGGGCCGGGCCUUCUGAUAUAGGUUCGAAUCCUAUUGGGUGCU